rnacentral:tRNA from 1 species
GAGGGUAUAGCUCAGUGGUAGAGCACAUGGUUAGCAUGCAUGAAGUCCUGGGUUCAAUCCCCAGUACUGCUG